AGAAUGCUCCCCCUGAAUAUCAAUAGUGGGAUAAAAAGGUUGGUUCUCAAAGAAAAUGAUAUCAAAAAUCGUCGUGUAUCCGAAAAAAAAAAACAUUUAUAUCCUUUUUGAUUCAAUGAGUAUCCAACAAAGAUACACUUAAGGACACUUGGGUCAAAUUUCUCUAUCGAAGAUGGGAGUGGAUAUGAACGAAAGCAGAACACCCGAAAACUUUAAAUGGUAGUGAGUGUAAGAUAUGUGAAUCAGGAAAAUUUUGAGAGAGAAGAUCAUAGGGUAUUUGAAAUUAAAAAAACGAGAAGGCAUUCGGUUUAUCAGAUAAGUCGCAGUGAGUAUUGCCUCUCCUCAAAGAAACUCAGGAACAUGGGUAGUGAACAUAAUGGAUCUGGCGACUUCAAGAAUGUCUGUUUUUUCAUUCGGCUAUGCCAUUUUGGUGAGGGAUGUAUACAUAAGAAUUUUGGUGAAUAAUGCCAUGUUCCUCAAAGUAUUUCUCAAGGGUGGUUUCUAAAUAUUUAUAAGUAUUAUCAGUUUUAAGUACCUGUAUAGUGGUAUGAAACUGAGUUUGGAUCAUAGUAUUGAAUCUUUUGAAAAUGAUUCAUACUUCGAAUUUUUCUUUCAUUAGAAUGACUCAAGUUAUUAUAAUGUGAUCAUCAAUAAAGGAUACAAAUAACUUAUUUGCAGAUAUGUUGGUAACCUUGGAAGGUCCGCAAACAUCACUGUGAAUUAAUGCAAACGUUUUGGAAGGCUUGUAUGACAAACUUGUAAAAGAGUUUCGACUAUGUUUAGAGAUUUGACAUACUUCAUAUUGAAAUAAAAGUGGAUUUUUAUUUCUGAAUAACAAGAGAAACAUCUUUUGUAGAUAUAAAAAGUUUGGAUGACCUAAGCGAUAAUGCCAUAAUAUGAUAUUAUGAUCAUUAUUUGAUUGAUUCUCAGAACAGGGUUUGUACAUACUGCCGUUUGAGUUUGUCUUCUAGAAGGGUUUGUUUGAAGGAGAUACAAGCCUGAGUGCAUUCUAGCAUUGCCAAUCAUCCUCCUCAAUUUCAAGUCCUGAAAUUCACACAUUUUUUAACUAAAUUUAGCAACAUAGUUUUGAUCAACAAAAAGUUGCUAACCAAUAGUAAAUUGCAGUCCAAUUUUGGUACAUAAAAUACUGAAUGAAGGGUCAAUUGUGGUGUUAAAACAAUGGAACCAGCUCCAGCCAUUCUGGAGAUUGACCUGUCUGCAAUUUUAAUUGUGAAAUUCUCAUAUGAUGUUUUGUAAUUCUGAAAUAGGGAUACAUUGCCCGUCCUAUGGUCUGAUGCUCCAGAAUCAACCACCUAUUGUCAUGUUUUGAAGAACAUGCUGUCAAACCAAUUGCUGCUUUACCUUUUUGUGCCACCGAAGCAUGCACGGGCUGAGUAGCAUUUCUUGCGGACGUUGUCAAGUCUCCUGUAGUGAUCAAAGUACGGUCUUCCCUUCUUUCCACGGGAUUCAUACCGCGUGGUGAGUGCAGAGGCACUUUCAGCAGAGUAGGUAGGCUGAACUUCUCCCAUCAUCACCCGUCUCCUGCUCUCUUCUCUCCGGAUUUCUGCGAACACUUCUUGGAUGCUAGGUAGUGGUUUCAUUCCCAGCACCCAUCUAUGAACCUCAUCCAGACUUAAGAGUCCAAUCAAAAAAUUGAAGAUUCUUUUCUGCUCAACAAAGAGUCUGAACGUCUGAGCAUCAUUUGGACAACUCCAUUGAUGCUCCUCGAAGGUAUCCAGUUGCUGUCAGCUUCAGGUUAGUGAAUUAAAGUACUGGGUAAUAGAAAUCUCACCCUGACGCAGCUCAUGGAGAGUUGACUCCACCUCGAAGGUGGCAGAGAUAUUAUCUUUGCUGGAGUAUAAUUCGCGAGCCACUUCCCAGAUUUCCUUCAUUGUUUCAUAUAACAUGAAGUUCUCACCAAUGUCAGGCACCAUUGAGUUAAUGAGUCACGACAUUACCAUAUUAUUCUCUAUUUUUUAGACGUGGAAACUUGGGUUGCUGGUUGCGGGAGGGAUAGUUUUACCGGUGAGGUAAUCGUUGCGGCCCUUGCUGUGAGUAAACAGUAGAUGGAGAUUGACCAUUGAAGGUAGUUCUGUUCGUUCAGUUUGUGCCCCGUGAUGAACGAUGAUGCCUGCUCAACUAGGCUGUGGUAUGGAGUUGCGGGGAGGUAGGAACUCGAAGAGACUUCGGGAGGAGAGGAAUUGAGCUCGUUUGUGGCCAUUUGAAUUCUGACUCAGAUAAAGAAGCUCUCGGAUCAGAGCUCUGAUACCAUGAAGAGUUUGGUGAAUGGAGAUUUAAUGAAGAAAUUCUCCCUUUUUUCUUUUAUUAAUUUCAGGCGCCAAAAUGUGCUAUUUAUAGAAGAAAACCAAACAUCUUUUCAAAAAUGUGAGGAAGGGAGGAUAACAGAUUUCUGUUGUUACUAUGCCACCUCACCUUCUAGAAGAAUGACACUUCACCUACUAGGAUUAUUCUACUUUGUAUAAUAGAAUGGAGAAUUACAGCAUUUUCUACAGAGCUUAAUUGAAAUUAGUUGAAAAGUUUGAAGUUUUUGAAGUUUUCUGCGUCCAUUUUGAAUCUUUGAGGGUGAAUUGAAAUUUUAAUGAAAACUCAGAUGUUCUGUUUUUGGUGCCAUUUUCUCCUCCAUUAAUAUGCAUUUUACAUGUAAAAUUUGUUUCCUGUUCCAUCUAGUGUAACUUAGGAAUGAAAAUAAACAAUAAGUUUAAUUACUCCUUUUUAAUAGUUAAGAUUGACUUGUUGUACAUACACGAGUGUGCACGUAUACACAGAAGGAAGAUUUAAUCAUAUUAAAAAACGGGGAAAGGCAAA